UACGUAGGGCGCAAGCGUUAUCCGGAAUUAUUGGGCGUAAAGAGCUCGUAGGCGGUUUGUCGCGUCUGCCGUGAAAGUCCGGGGCUCAACUCCGGAUCUGCGGUGGGUACGGGCAGACUAGAGUGAUGUAGGGGAGACUGGAAUUCCUGGUGUAGCGGUGAAAUGCGCAGAUAUCAGGAAGAACACCGGUGGCGAAGGCGGCUCUCUGGGCCUUACCUGACGCUGAGGAGCGAAAGCUAGGGGAGCAAACGGG
rnacentral:rRNA from 1 species